CCCCGAAAACCGGAAGUGAAGCGUCUACACCACACUGUGGAUCAAAUAAGUAUUUGAAAUGUGUUAUUCAAGCUAAUUAGGGAUUAAGAAGUUGCCAUUCUGUCACAUUCUUUUUAAGGAAUUCAAACGCUUUCUACAAAAUGCUGUCCUGUAAUUCCUCAGUUUGUGCUCAAUGCCGACAUGUAAUGUGAAAUAGUUCAUUUGCGUUGAUAAGUAACAGCUGCACUUCUUUGGACUCUUCAGUUUGCCGACAGAAGCAGAAUACAGCAGGGAUUCUCAACUGGACGUCAACAUUGGAUAAACUGCGAUUUUUCCAGUGGCUCAGGGCGUCUACAAUAAUGACUCCAGGGAUCUAGUAAAAGGUGUCUUGACGCCAGUGUCUGAGGGAAGUCGACGGCAGCUUCAUGGGCGGCACAAGCUCAGCUGAUCAUCGGUUGCUGGGACAGAAGCGUGAGCAGCUGGACCUCAUUAGACUCCUAACUAGUGGACAGGUGUUCCAACCAUACAGGUCCUCCCUCUUCCCCUUCAUCAUCUACUUCAGCCAGACUGCAAGUUUCAUAUUCAUCUCUCUACUCCUCCAUUGAUGUUCUCAUUCAUCAGGCAUGACGGCGUAUCGUCUUCACCAGUGGUUCUCAAAUGGGGGUACGCGUACCCCUGGGGGUACUUGAAGGUAUGCCAAGGGUGGGCCACCAAGCCACGUCCGAGACACAGCCAAGCACUCCGGGUCUAAGAUGAACGAAACUCUGAGCUUCCGGGCCGCUAUGAGCUUGUCAUUAUUGGUCUGCAAUACUUUCCUGCCUGGCGCCCCCAAGGCUGCACAACAGUCCCUCCUCAUCAUGCAACACGAAAUUGGAGACAGUGGAGGAACUACUCGACCUUGACGAGUUGAUAAAAACUCAACCAAGCAAGAAAGAUUUGCUGACAGCCAGGCUCUGAAAGAUUGGUGGAUAUGACUUAAAGAGCUGUUUAAGCACCAUCAUGGACAGGCUCAUGACAAAUGAAUUCAUGUCCAAUCUGAACAUGAAGGGGAGAGGGGGAAAAAAAUAGCUUUGCCGUGACGAAGCUGCUCGAUUUAGUCACAGCUAGUGUCUUGGAUACCCAGAAGGGGACCGAAACGAUGGUCCAUGAUGCCAUAAAAAAUAAACUGGAAUAUGCCCCUGGACGGUAGGGAGGAGGCUAAAUAAAUAAUUAUAUCGAUUGACAUUCUCCAUUUUCUUUGUACUUAAUUUCAAUUUUGCAUUAACAGGAUUCAGCCUGGAGCUAUAUAUGCACUAUGUUUUGUUGUCUUUAAUUAUAUUUAUAUAUUGGUUGAUAUUACGUUGAUGAUUGGUUGGUUGAUCUU